UUGCCGAAAACGACCCAGGCGCUGACGCACGCGGCACCACGAGCAUGUCUGCUCCGUGCGCGCGGCAGCAGCAGCCACGCGCCCACCGCAUCUCUCUCGCUCGCCUCGCCUCGCCUCGCCGCACCUGCAUUGCACAUGCCGCCGGGCCGCGGCGGCGGGUCCAUUUCUAGUUGGUGCCCGUGGUCUUUUGUGAUGCGAGACCAGGGCCGAGGCCGAGGCGGAGGCGGAUCGCUGGAUGAGGUUCAGGAUGGCGUCGUCUCGUCCGCCCACAGCGACAUCAUCGUCGCAUCGCUCGCCGCACGCUAGGGAUCACACGCUGACGCUGCGACGCGCGACGAGCUACCAACCUGGGUGCAGAGCCUGUUGUCUAGCGUAGCGAAGCUGACUGAAGCACAUGGUAUCCUCGUGCUCUACCAGUUUCCGACGGCAAUGGGAGUCCGGGACCACUGGGAGCCAGCCACUUGGCUUUAUUUGAAGAAUCAGAGGCACUUGUGCUUUUUUUUUUCCCGCGCUAAAUCUCAUCAAGAUUAUACGAAAGUGAAAUCUUUCUGUCUGUAUGUACUAUGUGUGCUGCACUGCUGCUAGGCAAGCGGCUAGCUGCAUCGUCGUUCUGUUUGAAAUCUGCGUGUUCAUGUUGUACGCACGUCUCCUUUUUGAAAGCUGCGUGUACGCCGUAGCAAUCUGUUGCAUGUAGUACUGUUGAAGCUGGGUCGUCGCGUUGCAUUGUACGCAUUAUAAAUCUUGUUUAAGGCUCACGCGGUCACGCGGAGGCUAGCUAGAGAUCACAACAGCAUUGUCGUUUUGGACUGAAUUAUUA